GGUAGACCUCGAAUUAGGUAAGAAUACCCGCUGAACUUAAGCAUAUCAAUAUAAGCG
rnacentral:rRNA from 1 species